rnacentral:rRNA from 1 species
CCUACGAGAGGCAGCAGUGGGGAAUAUUGCGCAAUGGGCGAAAGCCUGACGCAGCGACGCCGCGUGAGGGAUGAAGGUCUUCGGAUCGUAAACCUCUGUCAGCAGGGAAGAACGGUCACUGUGCUAAUCAGCAGUGAAUUGACGGUACCUGCAAAGGAAGAACCGGCUAACUCCGUGCCAGCAGCCGCGGUAAUACGGAGGGUGCGAGCGUUAAUCGGAAUUACUGGGCUUAAAGGGCUCGUAGGCGGUAUGUCAAGUCAAGGGUGAAAUCCCCGCGCUCAACGUGGGAACUGCCUUUGAAACUGUCAAACUGGAGUGUGUGAGAGGAUAGUGGAAUGCCAGGUGUAGGAGUGAAAUCCGUAGAUAUCUGGAGGAACAUCAGUGGCGAAGGCGACUAUCUGGCACAUAACUGACGCUGAGGAGCGAAAGCGUGGGGAGCAAACAGGAUUAGAUACCCUUGUAGUC